CUGCUUUUGGCGCUUGAAUUUAAACCCCAAACUUCAAAUAUGUUGACGCUUCCAUUUGAUCAUCGUUUCAGCAAUUCAAUUACUCUAUUCUAAUCGUUUGGCAAUGGAUCGACUGGAUGCUUCAACGAAGCUCAUGAUAGUUUCCGAUCUCGAUCUCACAAUGGUCGAUCACGAUGAUAACCACAACACCUCGCUUCUCAAGUUUAAUGCCCUAUGGGAAGCCUACUACCGUCGGGAUUCUCUUCUCGUAUUCUCAACCGGAAGAUCGCCGACGAGUUAUAGAAAAUUGAGGGAGGAGAGGCCUCUGCUGACCCCCGAUAUAACGGUAAUGUCUGUCGGAACGGAGAUUGCGUAUGGUGAAUCGAUGGUUCCAGAUGAAGAAUGGGAACGAUUUCUGAAUCGAAACUGGAAUCGAGAUUUAGUCAUGGAGGAAACCCUAAAAUUUCCGGAACUUAAGCCGCAGUCAGAAGCGGAGCAACGGCCUCAUAAAGUUAGCUUCUUCGUAGAGAAGAAUAAAGCCCCACAAGUGGUGAAUGCUGUAUCUGAACGUUUAGAGAAACGAGGGUUGGAUGUAAAAGUACUCUACAGCAGUGGAAUUGCUUUGGACGUAUUGCCAAAACGUGCUGGAAAAGGUGAGGCGCUUGCAUAUCUUCUUAAGAAGUUUGAAUCUGAUCGGAAAGCUCCAACCAAUGUUCUUGUUUGUGGCGAUUCUGGAAAUGACACUGAUCUUUUCAGCGUCCCCAACGUCUAUGGUGUGAUGGUAAGCAAUGCACAGGAAGAGCUACUACAAUGGUAUGUGGACAAUGCAAAGGACAACCCAAAAGUAAUUCAUGCUAGCGAGAGAUGUGCAGGUGGGAUCAUAGAGGCUAUUGGCAGCUUCCAACUUGGUCCUAAUUUGUCCCCAAGAGACAUUAUAGAUUCCAAAGGGUGCUGCAAAGUGGAGACUAUCGAUCCUUGUUUUGAAGUUGUGAAGUUUUAUGUGCUUUACGAGAGAUGGAGACGUGGUGAAGUCGAGAAGUCGGAGCUGUAUCUUGAAUAUCUUAAGUCCAUCUUUCCUGCAGGAGGGAUAGCAGUUGAUGCAAAUGGGAAAGAGAGAAGUAGGGAGGAAUUGAUAGAUGGAAUGAGAGGGUUAUAUGGUGACAUGAAGGCCACUCCAUUUCGGACCUGGCUCGAUGGGCUCUCAUCCGCGCAGGUCGGGUCCAAUUCAUGGCUUCUCAGGUUCAAUAAAUGGGAAUCUUCAUCUUCAUCUUCACGUUCAUCGUCAUCAUGGUUAUCGGGGAAUCAGUUUUUGGGGUGCUUCACUACAGUUCUAAUGAGUUCACAGAGCAAAGUUUCAGAGGGUGGUUUGAUGUGGAUGCACGUACAACACACGUGGUUGGAUGGUUCACCUUCAGAACCACAACACAACACUUGCUUCAUCUAAAAUCAGUUUUAUUAGAAUCUCCCAAUGUUCAACAGUUUGAUUAUGGAACUAAUAUCCUAAACAACAGAGAAUGGAGAAUCAUUCCAAGAGUUGCUUUCUAAAUGCCAAAGGACAUUAUCAGAAACUAAAAUAAGGUAAAGCUUAAUGUAACUAAGAUGGAUGCUUUUACUACUACGAUCCAUAAAAUCAUUCACUGAAU